rnacentral:rRNA from 1 species
GCAUAUCAAUAAGCGGAGCAAGAUCGGUAUGGGUGGCGAAAGCCGGAGAUUACAACCAGACUAAUUUUUUUACAAUGCUGUCACACAACAACAUAAUAUUUAAAACUUUCAACAACGGAUCUCUUGGUUCUCGCAACGAUGAAGAACGCAGCGAAUUGCGAUACGUAUUGUGAAUUGCAGAUUUUCGUGAAUCAUCGAAUCUUUGAACGCACAUUGCACCCUGUGGUAUUCCACAGGGUAUGCCUGUUUGAGCGUCAUUUCCUUCUCAAGCGUGAGCUUGGUGUUGGCGGAGGUCUUUCGAGGCCCCGCUGAAAUACGCAGGGGGUGCGUGGAAACGAGCUUUCUCUCUACUAAUGUCUAGGUUCUGCCAACUCAUUGGAAGAUUGACUGCUCCCUUCACAAUCCCACCCCCCUAACACACAAACAUUGACCUCAAAUCAGGUAGGACUACCCGCUGAACUUAAGCAUAUCAAUAAGCGGAGGAAGAUUCCC